UUAUGAGGCAUUGAAUCAAACUUAAAUUUCCACAAAUAGCACCUUUAUUGAGGCUAUUUAACAGUUAAUCUUGCCAGCUUCCCACUCGUACAAGUAAUUUCAGACUUCGCCCAUCAUUUCCUUCAAGAUUUCAGCUCUGAACUCCAUUAGGGUUCGCCAUUCGAGUAAACAAAGAGGUCGUUAUUUCAGUCUUCACAGAGUAGCAUUCCAUUGAGAAGAAAAUGGUAGCCACAAGCAAUGGAAAUCUUCAAGAAGAUUGCAUGCCUGAAUAUGAUAGGAGAAAUGAAGUUCAAGCUUUUGAAGAUUCAAAAGCCGGUGUAAAGGGCCUCUUUGAUGCUGGGCUGACAAAGAUCCCACGGAUAUUUCUUAACAAACAGUCCAUCCUGGAAAAGAACUCAGCUGGUGCUACACCUCAAUUCGUUAUUCCAGUCAUAGACUUUGAAGGCUUGGGCAGUAGUGUUGCUAGGCGAGUUGAAAUUGUUAACAUGAUUAGGGAUGCCUGUGAAAGCUGGGGUUUUUUCCAGGUGAUCAACCAUGGUAUUCCGGAUGAUGUCAUGGACAAAAUGCUCGAAAGUGUGCAGCAUUUUCAUGAGCAAGACUUUGAGUUGAAGAAACCUUUCCAUUCACGUGAUGUCAAGAAGAAGGUCACAUACAAUAGCAAUUUUGAUUUGCUCGUGGCACCAACAGCCAAUUGGCGGGACAGUCUUUACUGUAUCAUGGCUCCAGAUCCCCCUGAACCUGAAGAAUUACCCAAUGUCUGCAGGGAUAUCAUGAUCAAAUAUGCAGAACAUGUCAUGAGUUUGGGUUAUACACUGUUUGAAUUGCUAUCAGAAGCUCUUGGGCUUGAUCUAGAUCACUUGAAAGGAAUGGAUUGUGCAGAGGGGCUUUACAUUAUUGGCCAUUAUUAUCCUCCAUGCCCUGAACCGGAUUUGACUUUAGGCCUUAGCAGCCACACUGAUAGUGGCUUCCUCACUCUUCUUUUACAAGAUCAACUGGGUGGCCUCCAAGUUCUGCAUGAAGAUGUGUGGGUCGAUGUUCCUUUCUUUCCCGGAUCAUUGAUAGUAAACAUUGGAGAUAUGUUACAGCUUCUCACGAACGAUAAGUUCAAAAGUGUUCAUCACAGAGUGCUAGCAAAGCCGGUAGGUCCCAGAAUUUCGGUGGCUAGUUUUUUCAGAAUGCAUUUUCAGGAAGGCAAUGGCACAAAAACUUAUGGUCCAAUAAAGGAGUUGUUAUCAGAAGAAAAGCCUGCAAUCUACCGGGAGACCAGCAGGAAUGAGGUUACAAUGGUUAGGUACAACAAAGGGCUUGAUGGAAGUACUUUGCUAUCUCAUUUCAAGUUGCAAAACUAGUGGAUAGAUAUAAAAUCCCCUGUUGAAUAAGAAGGAAACCUUGAGUUUGUGGUCACAGGUGAAAUGUUCUAGCAUAAAUUUUCUCACAGAGAUUACCACUGCUGCUGGUUUGUGUAUCAGCAUGUGAUAAAUAAGGUAAUUGUUUAUAAAUGGAAUAUUUGUAGUCUGUAUGAUUAUCAUAAAAGGAGAAUAUUUAAGCAAAUCACUCUUGUUUUCA